rnacentral:rRNA from 1 species
AGGGUUCGAUUCUGGCUCAGAACGAACGCUGGCGGCAGGCCUAACACAUGCAAGUCGAGCGCGCCCUUCGGGGUGAGCGGCGGACGGGUUAGUAACGCGUGGGAACGUACCCUUUGGUAGGGAAUAGCCACUGGAAACGGUGAGUAAUACCCUAUGAGCCCUUCGGGGGAAAGAUUUAUCGCCAAAGGAUCGGCCCGCGUUAGAUUAGGUAGUUGGUGGGGUAAUGGCCUACCAAGCCUACGAUCUAUAGCUGGUUUUAGAGGAUGAUCAGCGACACUGGGACUGAGACACGGCCCAGACUCCUACGGGAGGCAGCAGUGGGGAAUCUUGGACAAUGGGGGCAACCCUGAUCCAGCCAUGCCGCGUGAGUGAAGAAGGCCUUAGGGUCGUAAAGCUCUUUCGCCUGUGAAGAUAAUGACGGUAGCGGGUAAAGAAACCCCGGCUAACUCCGUGCCAGCCGCCGC